UAUGUGUGACUGGCGAAACGUGGAGUACCACGAGGAAGCACAUAUUUCAUACGCCGUUCGCCUGGGCAA
rnacentral:ncRNA from 1 species